rnacentral:rRNA from 1 species
UACGUAGGGUGCGAGCGUUAAUCGGAAUUACUGGGCGUAAAGCGUGCGCAGGCGGUUUUGUAAGCCAGAUGUGAAAUCCCCGGGCUCAACCUGGGAAUGGCAUUUGGGACUGCAAGGCUCGAGUGCGGCAGAGGAGACUGGAAUUCCUGGUGUAGCAGUGAAAUGCGUAGAUAUCAGGAGGAACACCGGUGGCGAAGGCGGGUCUCUGGGCCGAUAUCGACGCUGAGGAGCGAAAGCGUGGGGAGCGAACAGG